rnacentral:lncRNA from 1 species
UUAGAGCAGGAGUGAGAGUUUAUUAAAAAGUUUUAGAGCAGGAACAAAAGGAAGUACACUACACUUGGGUCAGGCAGGCAACUUGAGAGAUCUAAGUGCCCUGCCUGACCCUUAACUUGGGGUUUUAUGUAUUUGGCAUAGUUCUGGGAUUUACGUCUCAUCUCCCCUGAUUCUUCCCUUGCAGCAGGCUGUCCGCGUAUGUGGUGACCUGCCAGCACUUGGAAGGGGUCGCAUGCACAGUGUGAUUACUGAAGUUGCGCGCAUGCUCACUUGAGGCAUUUUUCCCCUUACCAGUCGUGCGUUCCCAGAGGAAGGUAGGUCAUAUACUGGUUAAAUUCCGCCAUUUUGCCUCUUGGUGCGCAUGCUCCAGGCUGCUUGCCCAGCUCCUGAGAUCUUAUCGGGAAGCGGCUGAUCACCAGAUCAGGGUGUUUUGUAUCUAUUGAGAGACUGUCCUUGCUUGGAGCUGGCUGCAACCAAUUAUUAUUUUACAGAGACAGUUUAACAACCACCUGACCAUCACCUGAUGGUAGCCUGACAUUCCUGUGGGGGCCCUCACCUGUCCUGCUCAUGUUUGCCUAGCUCCCUACUCUAACAUUUCCACUCUGUGGACCCCAGGUUGAGAUCUUCUGCAGGGAAGACUGUCCUCAAAUAGCCUGCUGGGGAGACAUCUCCUUCCCGUUUACCUUUCCAUUUGCCCUUGCGGUGUUAGGCAAAGGCUGAAGCUGGCCUCUGUGGCAGAGGGUUUCUUCCCAACACGCCAAUGACGCUGGUGGAGAGUCUUAAAAACAGCUGUGCUGGGGAGAGUUCUUGGUGUGUACCUUUCAGAGACCUCCUCCUUAAGACUCUCAAAGACUGAGUCAGGCCAGUGGGAGCCUGGCAGCAAUUCUUAGGGGACAGUGACAGCUUUUUGAGGAGGACUAAUUGGCUUCUAGGGCUGGAGGCCACUUGGGUCUGACAGACUGCCCUGCUGCCAUCCCUCCAGGGCACCCCCCACUCCCUUGCCUCAGGGCCUUCCUGCACUUCUUCCUUUUGUCCUCAAUGUUCUUCACCCCACCUUUUCCACUGGUACCCUCUGCCUAUGGUCAAGGCUUUGGUGAGACCCACUUUCCUCUUAGACCUUCCUGGAUCCCCCAAAGUCUGUGUUGGAAGCCCCUCCCAUGUGCCCUUGUUUGAGCUUUUAAUUUUCCACCAUGACGCUUGUCACACUGCUUUGUAAUUGGCUCUCUGUUAGUCUGCAUCUCUACUGGGUUGUACCUUCCAGGAGGACAGCUGCCAUGUGACUCUUGUAAUCUUCCCACCGCCAACACCCAGCACAGCGUCAGGAACACAGAGCAUGAUGAGCACAAGCUUGUUGAGCAAACAGACAAAUAACUGGAUGCUUCUGUGCAGAGUUUCUCAACCUGGCCAUUAUUGGCAUUUGGGACUUGAUCAUGCUUGGUCGUGGGAGACGGUUCUGUGCCUGUAGGAUGUUUAGGAGCAUGCUUGGUUUCUACCCACCAGAUGCCGGGAGCACACCCACCCAGCUGUGACAACCAAAAAUGUCUCCAGACACCAUUCCAAAACCAGCGGGAGACAAAAUCGCCCGACAGUCGUUGCUUUAGUGAGUGAAUGUUGACCUAAGCGUCACUUCGCCUGUCUUGAGUCUAGGUCGGGGAGUGGGUUCAGUUAGCCAAUCAGAGAACGCUGAUGGGGCGACCAGUAUAUGCUCAUGAAAUGGGUGGCUGACCUCUUGGGGUCAGAAGAGGGAAAAGUUUUACUGUGUGUUGGCUAAGGACCAUUUUAAGUCCUUCAGUGACCGAUUACCACAUGAGAACACAAGAGGGCGCUCUAACUAAUGAGUUCCGCGGCCGAGAAAACUCCUGGAGUGGGUGCUCCUGGGAUGCUUCAGGUUUAGACACCGGGGUUACGGCAGCUGCCGAGGAAGGCUAAAGCCAGCGUCCUGGAUUCAGACAGACCUUUUAGCCAUUAAAUCCACUAAGAAAGAUCCCUGCGCAUGAAGUUUCCUCCUCGGAAAUAUAGGCAGAAGGGAAAGUAAUUUUAAACUCAUGUGUGCUCCACAGGCCGGGGGCGGUGGCUCAUGCCUGCAAUCCCAGCACUUUGCGAGGCCAAGGAGGGAGGAUCACUUGAGCCCAGAAGUUCGAGACCAGCCUGGGCACCAUGGUGAAACCUCAUCUCUGCAAAAAAAAAAUUAAAAAUUAGCCAGCUAUGGCGGCUCACGCCUCUGGUCCCAGCUACCCAGGAAGCUGAGAUGGGAGGAUCGCUUGAGCCCAGGGGUUCGAGGCUGCGGUGAGCCAUUGUUGUGCCACUGCACUCCAGCCUGGGCAACAGAGCAAGCCCCUGUCUCAACAAAACAAAACAAAACAAAAAAUUCAGUCGUGCUGCAUAAGUAAGGCACCAGGAGUAGGAAUAGGGUCUUUGCAGCUCCCGUGGCAAUUGCCCUUCUCUGGUGGUGGCAAACAGGAAAAGUGAUUUUGGCUAGGCGUGGUUCUCAUCUGUGAAAUUCCACAGCGCAAUGACAGCAGCCUCUCUCCCACCCACUCAAGACACUGUCAGGAAUGUCUUAAGACCUCAGGAGACCACUUCUUUAGCAAGCAAUUUUGUUUUUUGUUUUUUUUGAGAUGGAUUCUCACUCUGUCACUCAGGCUGGAGUGCAGUGGCGCGAUCUCCGCUCACUACAACCUCCGUUUCCUGGGUUCAAGCGAUAAUCUCACCUCAGCCUCUUGAGUAGCUGAUACUACAGGCAUGCGCCACCACGCCCGGCUAAUUCUUGUAUUUUUAGUAGAGACAGGGUUUCAUCAGGCUGGUCUCAAACUCCUGACCUCAGGUGAUCCGCCCACCUCAGCCUCCUGAAGUGCUGGGAUUACAGGCGUGAGCCACCUUGCCUGCCCUGGCAAGGAAUACAUUUUUAAAAAUUAGUAAGAAACAUACACAUUUCAAGUUUUCAAUUAAGAAUAAUAUUUGCUGAUGGCACCAUCUUCCUGUCUUUCAGCCUUCAGCAUGGUAGAGGAAAAGAGAAAGAGUGUAGACAAAAACAGUUGAAGAACAUCUGUGCUUGUUCCACCUUCAUUUUCUGUUUUGUGCGUUGCCUGAAUGAACGGUGUCUUCAGGUUGGUAUUUCACAGGCGGUGCUCCCAAGUAGUCUGGUUUUCCCAUUUGUGGAGGGCGAGGUCAUAGAGGGGACAGGGGGAGGCUGUCUGGUCAGCACUGUGUAUUUCCAAAGAACAAGGACUAGCCAAAACUACAAGCCUUUGAAGGACCAAAGGAAAAGAGAAAAAACCAGCCUCUAACCAGGCCAUGCGCUAGAAAUGAUUGAGUAUAAAAAAGAAAAUUGGUUUCUGUGUAUGAGGGUGCAUGGAAAAGGUCUUUAUCUCUGCACAAAACAAAAUAUUCAAGUUUCAGAAUAUCCCAAUGGCCUUGCCCUGGAUCUCCUCUUGUGCUCUUCCAAUUUCCAAGGAUGUUCCAACUUGGUGGAAGGAGGGUAUGUGGGAAAUUCAACAGCCCCUCUGUAUCUCUUUCUACCCAACAUUAACUUAGCAGGAUGGAUUUAAGAACCGGCAGCUUAGCCUGAGGAAUUGCUGUGUUCUGUGGGAGCAGGGCAGGUUCAUAAAUAAGUGCACAGAGGUCUUGAAAUACAGGGAUUAUCUGUUCUUCUCGGAACAUGGAUGUCCUUCCAGGGAUGUGCAUCUGGCCUUGCUGUCUAAGUUCCAUCAAGGGAGCCUUCCGUUCUCUGUAGCGACAAGAAACAAGGCAAGUUAUGAUCACACCUCUCAAGAUUGAAGAUUGCCCUGGUGGAGAGAAAUGCAAAAUGACAGCACUUCUCAAAGAAAAUGCAAAGCAGGGCUGUCACACACUGGUCCCCCACCCUGCAGGGUUCUCUCUGUGACUUCAGAGGCCCAAGGAGUCCUCAGCACUACAGAUACACGUGGCCCCUCAGAAGACAACAUUUCACAGAUCUGCAAAGAAUAAAGGUCAAAUUUACUUAAUACAACACCCACCAGGGUUCCUGCAGCUGUGUCACUGAGGCAAACAGGGAAAGUAAUUUUGGUUAGGUGUGGUUCUCACCUCUGAAAUUCCACAGCACAAUGACUGCAGCCUCUCUCCCACCCACUCAAGACAUUGUCAGGAACGUCUUAAGACCUCAGGAGACCACUUCUUUAGCAAGCAAUUUUUUUUAGAUGGAUUCUCACUCUGUCACUCAGGCUGGAGUGCAGUGGCGCGGUCUCUGCUCACUACACCCUCCCUCUCCUGGCUCCUGCCCGUAUGUAUUUCUCCUUCUCUCCAUGCCUGCUCUGUAGGGACCAUAGCCUCUGUCCCUGCAUACAUGUUGGACAUCAAUCACAUCAGUCCACCAAGUAACUUCAUCAAGCACCCAUGUACGCCCAGCACAGCGUCCCAAGGGUGCCCCACUUACCCACAGAAGAAGAAAGGCAACUUUGUAAGAGAUCUGACUUCUAGCUCCAGUUCUGUCUCUAGCUAACGUGAGAUGUACCCGUUUGAGGCCUGUUUUUUAAUUUUGAAAAUGAAGGACUGAACUUAGAUGGUCCAACUGAAAUGUUUUAAAAUGAUAUGAUUCUACCUUAAAAAGAGAAUGAAAUUCUGAUAUAUUUUCAACACAGGAAAACCUUGAAAACGUUAUGCUAAAUGAAAUAAGGCAGACAUGAAAGGACAAAUAUAUGAUUCCACUUAUGUGAUGUACCUCAAAUAGUCAAAUUCAUAGAGACAGAAAGUAGACAGUGGUUGCUAGGGGUUGCUGGAGGGGCAAUGGGGAGUUAGUGUUUAAUGGGUACAGUGUUUCAGUGGCUGCUCUGCCUAUGGAGUAGCCAUUCUUUUGUUUCUUUACUUCUCUAAUAAACUUGCUUUCACUUAAAAAGAAAAAGCUCUGGAGAUGGAUAGUGGUGGUGGUUGCACAGCAAUGUGAACGGACCUAAUGCAACUGAAUUAUACACUUUAAAAUGGUUAAGUAUACACUGGAAAAUGGUGAAUUUGCCGGGCGGGCGCAGUGGCUCACGCCUGUAAUCCCAACACUUUGGGAGGCCGAGGCGGGUG